UUAAAUGGGCCGGUAUCUGUCUGAUAGCGUUCUAAUCAUAGCCCACCAUAGUGCAAAGGCCCAUUUCCGAGUCUGAUUUUGGUCCCUCCGGCGCACCGCCGCGUCGUCCUCCACCGUCCGACGCCGCCGCGCCGCCUCCUCCUCCUCCUCCCUCCUGUUGAUCGAUCGCCCUCUCGAUCCGAGGACGCCGGAUGAUCCCAGAUACCCCUACUCGGCGCCGCCGCUAGGACCCUCCUCGUCGACGCCUGAACCCAUUCGUCGGCGGAGGAAUAGGAUGCGUGGGAGCAGUGUGGACCCUAGAUCGAUGGCGCGGCGGCGGAGCCGGCCGGCGAUGUGGAGCCUAAGGUCCCGUAGGGGUCUGGCCAUUCCACUAUCCAAGCACUGCAAUGGAAGUGAUUGUAAUUGACUGAAAAGUUGAUGCGACGCAGGACAGGAAAGAGGGGUUUGGUGUGAUUGAAGACGAGGCUUGAAAAGUUUGUGAGUACAAGAUCUGAGGCUUUGGUGCAUCCAUCUCCGAAUAGUAUUUAUCUUGAUGUGCUCACAUUGGUGUUCUGUUCUUCCCCUCUUGAACAAAAUGGAAAAAGAUUCCGAAGACUUUCCCAUGCUGAAGGUCCCUAUCGCCGAAUUGUUUGAGAAUCAUUUUAAAUUACCAGUACUCACUGUUUGACACAACAUGGUCAUUAUUAUGGCCUCCCUGGGUUUACCACAAUGUACAUGUUUGGUUGAGUGACUGAACUGCCAAACCUAUAUGCUUAUAUUGUGGAUACCUAGCCUGUUAGAGCGAGCACAAUAAGUGUGAUAUAAGCAUGCUUACAUUAUCUUUAUGUUUACAUGAUGUUUACAUGAAGAAAAGAAAGAAAAACGAUUUACAAAUUUACAACAAGCUACAACACAAGCUCUAAGACACUUAAGUAUAUAUGAGAAGAUGGGCCAUACAUGAAUGAUGUAGCAUAUACUUAUGUGUAACUAUUAUAUAAGUUGAU